UACGAAGGGGGCUAGCGUUGCUCGGAAUCACUGGGCGUAAAGGGUGCGUAGGCGGGUCUUUUAAGUCAGGGGUGAAAUCCUGGAGCUCAACUCCAGAACUGCCUUUGAUACUGAAGAUCUUAGUGCGGGAGAGGUGGAGUGGAACUGCGAGUGUAGAGGUGAAAUUUCGUAGAUAUUCGCAAAGAACACCAGUGGCGAAGGCGGACUCACUGGCCCGAGUACGUGACGCUGAGGCACGAAAGCGUGGGGAGCAAACAGGGA
rnacentral:rRNA from 1 species